GGUGAGGUAGCUCAGUGGUAGAGCUUACACUUAGUAUGUGUGAGGCCCUGGGUUCAAUCCCUACCACCA
rnacentral:tRNA from 2 species